CGGUUUUCUCAGUUUACCGCCUUCGUCAACAGAGAGUAUCUAUGUUCUCAAUCUCGUGCGCGUACACAGAUCCACCGUGUUUCUAUUUCAUCUUUAUUGCGUCCAGUCCAUUUUCUUACGGCUUAUCGUCAUCGAUCACCAGACGCUGUUACAUCAACGAUUAGGGCGCAACGAAUAACGAUACGCGUUAUCGUGCACGAACCGAGAUAUUUCUCGCACCGCUCCAUACAUCAUUAUCAGCCCGAUGCGAUGACCGAUUUUCUAGGGUGGAAAAAUCGGGGGUUCGUCGAAACAAUAAUUCGGAAGGCUUGGAACGUUCGGAUAGACGCCCCGGCUGAGUUUUCCGACGACUCUAGCCCAGACGGGAAGAGGAAGCAACGUCGCGACUCGGUACUUGGCACUCGGACAAGUGGCAAAGGAUUUAAAUUCCGAGUCGGUGACGACAUUCGCCGUAUUCUACGUUUCGUCACUCUCGUUGGCCCACGCAGAUGAAACCGCCAGGACGGAAAUCAACCGGGCCACCGUCAAUUACACCAAGGAUAUCGUCCGAAAGGUGUGCCCAUUAUUUUCAAUCUCCGACCGGAAUUAACGUCGUACCUUGGCCUUUGUCUGUGGCUCGCGGUGCACCAACUCUCAUUGCAAAAGAAAAGGAAAUAAAAAAAAAAGUUGGUCUUUCCUGGCCCUUA